AGCGGCGAGCGAAGCGGGAAGAGCUCAAAUUUAUAAUCUGGCACCUUCGGUGUCCGAGUUGUAAUCUCUAGAAGUGUUUUCCGCGUUGGACCGCACACAAGUCUGUUGGAAUACAGCGGCAUAGUGGUGAGACCCCCGUAUAUGGUGCGGACGCCCAACGCUUUGUGAUACACUUUCGAAGAGUCGAGUUGUUUGGGAAUGCAGCUCAAAUUGGGUGGUAAAUUCCAUCUAAAGCUAAAUAUUGGCGAGAGACCGAUAGCGAACAAGUACCGUGAGGGAAAGAUGAAAAGCACUUUGGAAAGAGAGUUAACAGUACGUGAAAUUGUUGGAAGGGAAACGCUUGAAGUCAGACUUGCUUGCCGAGCAAUCGGUUUGCAGGCCAGCAUCAGUUUUCCGGGGUGGAUAAUGGUAGAGAGAAGGUAGCAGUUUCGGCUGUGUUAUAGCUCUCUGCUGGAUACACCUUGGGGGACUGAGGAACGCAGUGUGCCUUACGGCGGAUUUCUCGAGAUCUUCACACUUAGGAUGCUGGUGGAAUGGCUUUAAACGACCCG
rnacentral:rRNA from 1 species